GCAGCUCUUAAUUAUUAAAAAGAAUGCUUCUAGUUACUGGCCAAGUGACCACUUCAUAAUUGGGAAAGAAGAAGUCUAGCAUGACAUGACUACAAAUUCAGAAAUUCUAUUGCCAGAAACUGGGACCACGCUUUAUUGGCAUGACCAUGUCACACAUGGCAUUGUCUAUCUACUGCCUCUCACCAGGACAUGUUGGUGGGAGAAAGGAGGUUGAUUCUGCCGGCCCAAUUAAGUAUUACGUUUUGACCAGCCAACUAACAAGCAAUUGUCCAAUUCCUAGUCCUACUUGGUCCUUGUUAAGAAGAAAUUCUUGAACCAAGUUCUUCCAAGAAUUUCACCAUUUGGUUAGCAGCUAGGCAUUGUCGAGUGCCGAAAGUCAUUGCUUGCAGAAGGAAUAUACAUUGUAUAUCUAUUAGAGAUAGAAGAAAUUGUGAAUGUUACACGUGUACAAUAAAACUAAAAUUAAGAAUAUUUUGCAUUCAGAGAUUUUAAAUUACAUGUUACUUCUCUCCAGCCAGAGAUAAAGAAAGCAAGAAACAUAAAUAUAUGUUACAUAUAAGCUGUAGUUCCGAAAGUUUGCAAUAUUUACCCUUUAAUUGUUAAUUCCAUGUGUUUGCACUUUUGUUGCUAUCCAUGAACACACCAAGGGGAAAUAAGAGAUGCAUUUCCACAAGACAACAGGCAAGGGAUGGUAACUUGGUAAGCAAUGGGAAGUACUAUAUUGGACUGCCUCAGGUGCCUCUGCAGUUGUCAUUUGCAGAGUCGAUAACAUUAUAGUAUAGGCAGGAUAGCCUGCCAUCAAAUUUGGAGACCAAAUGAUGAGCAGAUAGCCCACAAUAACGUUUGCCCAACCGUGCAAUACAAAUAUCUAUUAUUUUCUUGAACAUGCUGUCUCCUUGAAUCAAUGGCUGCUCCACAAACUCAAGUAAGGGCAUCCACUGCAAUAGGGAAACAAAAAGGUUCAAAAAGUUGAAACUAGUCAUGAUGUCCACAGAUAAUGCAGAUAAAAGCAAAUUCGAUGCAUCCUCUAAGAAGCUUCUAGCUCAGAUUUAAUGUCCAUUAAACCUCACUGACCCUUCCAUCAAAUAUCUAUCAUUACGCAUGGAUGAACAGUGUAAAGCUUCGCUUGACAGUUCUGAUAAGAGCUUAGCUUGACAGUUACUGGUGUAAAUGAUUUACCUUGGCUGCUUGAAUUUCAAGAUCGUCAACAAUGAACUGAGUUGAUAAGGGUUUCAACAUGCAAACAAAGAACAAAUCUGACUUGUCAAAAGCCAAAUUGUGAGCAUGCCUGAAAUCAUAGUAACAGUGAAGAUUAGAGAUGAUGUUGAGUAAAAGUAAAAAUGCUAUCCACACUUUGGUUUCUAGAGGACAUGCUUGAAAGCUAGUUAUGUCAUUGCUAGCCAAUAAAUGCAUGAUAUGCUAAACUUAGUCUCACAGUAUUAUGGUUCAAAAUCUCUUUCAUUAGCCAACGAGGCCUAGGCCUUGGGACCAAGAGUUUCCAAGUUCAAGUCCCACAAUUGAUGGUUUGGAUUGUGAUAUUUUAUUGUUUACUUUGCAUUUGCAAACGUACUUCGGCUUUGACCAGUUUCAGUUGUAAUCAGCACAAUUAUGAUAUAUCUUGUACUCUUACCUCUGGUAACCAUUGUGGUAUCUACAAUUUAAUCCUUUUGUAAAUCAUUGUUAUUACCUGAAUGCCACAACUUCAAUGAACUCAGUAUCAAUACCAGUUUCCUCCUUGACUUCUCUCACAGCUCCUGUGUAAAUCUCCUCUGACUCAUGAAUGAAACCAGUUGGAAUUUUCCAAAGACCCAAAAAGGAUGGAGCACAGAAUUUCUCUUGUACUACAAGAACCUCAUUGUUGUCAUUGAUGACAAAUCCCCCCACCCCUACUUGAUGUGUAGCAUUAGCAGGAAGCAUACAAGGUUCUUCAGGAAGCCAGUAAGUCAACAUCAAAUAUGCUGGCUCUGCAUGGUGAUACUGGAAACCUUCCUUUACAGCAAUGGGAACAAGCUCUGAUCGCUCCACUGGCAACUUAAGCCAAAUUCCCUUCUUUCCCCUUAUUUUCCAAUGAGCAAGCGAAAAAUGAAGAGAAGCAGCAAAGUCAUCUGAAUUCUUUGGUAGACAAUUUGAAUCAACAACUACACCACCAUACUCAUCGUCAAACGCAUCAAGCACUUUCAUACACCCAGAAAACAGACUUGAAUUAGAACCAUUUGCUCCAUUAAUCCGAUACAAAAAAUUCUCAGGAACAGUAUUUUCUUGGUCAGCUGAAUUAAUAGACUUCUUUGAAAGAUAAGUACCAUUUGAAGUACUUGAACUAGACACCUUCAGAAAUAUCCCUCUGCAAGAACCGAGCUCUGGAGAGAAUCUAACACCUGCCACAUGCCCUAAACUCGAAAAUGGACUCGAGUAUGUCCUUCCCACGAGAGCUAUCUCGGAUAAGGACACCGAUUUAGAAUCAAGCAAUUUCAACUCCAUUAAUGACUGCAGUACUCAAAUCCCAACUACCUUAAUUAACAGUAUUCACAAACCCACAAGUCAAGCACCAUCAAAUUCUUAGUUUAUAUACACACAGUUGAGGCAAGCUUAAAGUUGUAUAUCCAGGAAUAAAAAAAUCAAUGAUUCCAACAAGAAAAUGUCAUGGAAUUCAUCGUCGUUUGGAGUCAAAUUCUAGAGCUGGCAUGACAAAGUGUAAAUCUUGGCAAUGCAGAGGAGAAGCAAACAAGUAUCUAAAGACUAAAAAUUAUAACAACUUCACUUGGUGAUGAGUAAUAUAAGACAUGGUUAAACUCCAUGUAUUAUGCUAAAAGCCAAGAUUAAAUUAGUGGGAAUCUUGGAAAACUUGUGGUGUGAAAUGGGUGUUGGGUGUAACUUGAAAAUGACAACAACAAAGCG
rnacentral:misc_RNA from 1 species